rnacentral:rRNA from 1 species
UUUAAUUAUCAUAUAUAAAAGUGAAAAUACAAAAUAUAAAUUAAUUUUAGUUGGGGCAACUGGGAGGGAUAAAAAUCUUUUAUUAAAUCAUUUAUAAUAAUAUUUAUAUUUAUGAUCCAAAUUAGUUAAUUUUGAACUUAGAAU